rnacentral:rRNA from 1 species
AUACGGAGGAUGCAAGCGUUAUCCGGAUUUAUUGGGUUUAAAGGGUGCGUAGGCGGGACUGUAAGUCAGGGGUGAAAUACUGCAGCUUAACUGUAGCAUUGCCUUUGAAACUGCCGUUCUUGAGUACAGUUGAGGUAGGCGGAAUGUGGUGUGUAGCGGUGAAAUGCAUAGAUAUACCACAGAACGCCGAUUGCGAAGGCAGCUAACUAAGCUGUUACUGACGCUGAGGCACGAAAGCGUGGGGAUCAAACAGGAUUAGAUACCCUGGUAGUCCACGCUGUAAACGAUGAUUACUAACCGUCGGCGAUAGACCGCCGGUGGCCAAGCGAAAGCGAUAAGUCAUCCACCUGGGGAGUACGACCGCAAGGUUAAAACUCAAAUGAAUUGGCGGGG